GUCUAUGGACAUAACACUCUGAAAGUGCCUGACCUUGUCUGAUCUUGGAAGCUAAGCAGGGUCAGACCCGGUUAGUACUUGGAUGGGAGACUGUCUAGGAAUACCAGGUGCUGAAGAGU
rnacentral:rRNA from 1 species